rnacentral:rRNA from 1 species
UGGCUCAGGACGAACGCUGGCGGCGUGCCUAAUACAUGCAAGUCGAGCGCAGGAAACCAGAUGACCCCUUCGGGGUGAUUCUGGUGGAAUGAGCGGCGGACGGGUGAGUAACACGUGGGCAACCUGCCUGUAAGACUGGGAUAACUUCGGGAAACCGGAGCUAAUACCGGAUAGUAUUUCCUUUCUCCUGAUUGGAAAUGGAAAGACGGUUUCGGCUGUCACUUACAGAUGGGCCCGCGGUGCAUUAGCUAGUUGGUGGGGUAAUGGCCCACCAAGGCGACGAUGCAUAGCCGACCUGAGAGGGUGAUCGGCCACACUGGGACUGAGACACGGCCCAGACUCCUACGGGAGGCAGCAGUAGGGAAUCUUCCGCAAUGGACGAAAGUCUGACGGAGCAACGCCGCGUGAGCGAUGAAGGCCUUCGGGUCGUAAAGCUCUGUUGUUAGGGAAGAACAAGUACGAGAGUAACUGCUCGUACCUGAC